CGGCCGCCGGGCGAUUUCGGAAACUGCCGCGGGCCGGAAGGGGGUGGGUAGGAGGCGGCCGAGCUGGGGAGGGAGCGAGGGUGAGGACGCCCCCGCACGCAUCUCUUCCACCACCCCAGGAGGCUGCAGACGUCCCGCGAUUGGCUCCGAAGUCGAUGUCUGCUUCCCCAGCCGCAGCGCCCCAAACUGGGACAGGCAUUUGGAGGCGAUGGAGAUCUGGUCAUAGCCAGGGGAAGGAAAGCCAGGAGCCAGAGUAGGACCGGUGCGCCCAAGGCCCUGAUGCUAGUGAAGGCCUACGCGCAUGAGCGCACCUGCCCCGGGAAGCGCGUCCACGCAGCAUCUGUGCGCGCUAUUGUCAUGUCGGUCUCCCUCUGGCUAUUUCUCCCCAGCAGUGAUAGUCUGAGCCGGGCUUGCAAUACUUCUGGUCUUCCUAGCUGUAACUGUUUGCCAGUUUUGCUGUCUGCCUCCU